UACGGAGGGGACUAGCGUUGUUCGGAAUUACUGGGCGUAAAGCGCACGUAGGCGGAUUUGUAAGUCAGGGGUGAAAUCCUGGAGCUCAACUCCAGAACUGCCUUUGAUACUGAAGAUCUUGAGUUCGGGAGAGGUGAGUGGAACUGCGAGUGUAGAGGUGAAAUUCGUAGAUAUUCGCAAGAACACCAGUGGCGAAGGCGGCUCACUGGCCCGAUACUGACGCUGAGGCACGAAAGCGUGGGGAGCAAACAGG
rnacentral:rRNA from 1 species